UACGGAGGGUGCAAGCGUUAUCCGGAUUUACUGGGUUUAAAGGGUGCGCAGGCGGAUAUGUAAGUCAGUGGUGAAAUCUCUAGGCUUAACCUGGAAAUUGCCGUUGAUACUAUAUAUCUUGAAUGCUGUGGAGGUAAGCGGAAUAUGUCAUGUAGCGGUGAAAUGCUUAGAUAUGACAUAGAACACCUAUUGCGAAGGCAGCUCACUACACAAAUAUUGACGCUGAGGCACGAAAGCGUGGGGAUCAAACAGG
rnacentral:rRNA from 1 species